rfam:Triticum aestivum genome assembly, contig: Triticum_aestivum_CS42_TGACv1_scaffold_405505_5BL
AUUAUACUCCCUCUAUCCCAUAAUUCUUGUCUUAGAUUUGUCUACAUAUGGAUGUAUCUAGUCACAUCUUAGUGUUAGGUACAUUCGUAUCUAAAUAAACUUAAGACAAGAAUUUUGGGACGGAGGGAGUACUUG